CCUGCAGGAGUGACUAGCUACUGAAUCACAAGUACAUUGUAUAUGUCACUUGAGAUACCGUAAGUGGAAAAUAAUGAUAUUACCUUACUAUUAGUGUUGUCCAAAGUUGGUGCCAGAAGACUCGGUAAGGCCAGAAACGCAAACGUUAGUCUUAUUAACCAGGCGUAAAGGGUAUGUAGGCAGCUUUCAAAAUUUUAUUUUAGUAUAGCCAAUAGUAAAAUAAGACCAAUAAAAGCUAGAAUCAAAUAGAGGUUAAGCCAAAUAAUACUUAGAGGAGGGGCGAUAUCCUUAGAACCUAAGUAGAAUACUAAGGGCGUAAGCUUUUUAACCAUUAAUGAUUGACGCUGAGAAACGAAGGGGAGGAUAGGAAGUAGGAUGUGCGACUUGAAAAGUCUAGAUAUUGUAUUGUACUUAAAGUACAUUCUCAUUCGUCUGAGGAUAGCCAACCUGGACAUGCAAGAGGUAUUUUAUUGAUAUAAAAUAUUAACCAGUAAUGGUCUUGUGUGAAGCUCCGGGAUAAAGUUAUUUAAUUCGAUAAUCCGCA
rnacentral:rRNA from 1 species